rnacentral:rRNA from 1 species
AUUGAACGCUGGCGGCAGGCCUAACACAUGCAAGUCGAACGGUAACAGAAAGCAGCUUGCUGCUUUGCUGACGAGUGGCGGACGGGUGAGUAAUGUCUGGGAAACUGCCUGAUGGAGGGGGAUAACUACUGGAAACGGUAGCUAAUACCGCAUAACGUCGCAAGACCAAAGAGGGGGACCUUCGGGCCUCUUGCCAUCGGAUGUGCCCAGAUGGGAUUAGCUAGUAGGUGGGGUAAAGGCUCACCUAGGCGACGAUCCCUAGCUGGUCUGAGAGGAUGACCAGCCACACUGGAACUGAGACACGGUCCAGACUCCUACGGGAGGCAGCAGUGGGGAAUAUUGCACAAUGGGCGCAAGCCUGAUGCAGCCAUGCCGCGUGUAUGAAGAAGGCCUUCGGGUUGUAAAGUACUUUCAGCGGGGAGGAAGGGAGUAAAGUUAAUACCUUUGCUCAUUGACGUUACCCGCAGAAGAAGCACCGGCUAACUCCGUGCCAGCAGCCGCGGUAAUACGGAGGGUGCAAGCGUUAAUCGGAAUUACUGGGCGUAAAGCGCACGCAGGCGGUUUGUUAAGUCAGAUGUGAAAUCCCCGGGCUCAACCUGGGAACUGCAUCUGAUACUGGCAAGCUUGAGUCUCGUAGAGGGGGGUAGAAUUCCAGGUGUAGCGGUGAAAUGCGUAGAGAUCUGGAGGAAUACCGGUGGCGAAGGCGGCCCCCUGGACGAAGACUGACGCUCAGGUGCGAAAGCGUGGGGAGCAAACAGG